AUACGGAUGACGAGUCUCAAAUUGGACGAAACGCGCGUCCUAGAU
rnacentral:hammerhead_ribozyme from 1 species